rnacentral:lncRNA from 10 species
GAAAAUUGAAUUUGUUGAUAGUAAAGUUUUAAAAUUGGGAAGUUAUAUUGAAAUGUGUCUGGUGCAACCAGUGGAGUUUAAAUUAUUUUUGACCAAAAUGGAUUCUGAAGAAAUGGUAUGGAUAGAAAACAAAGAAUAUUUGAUUAAGUGAAACAAAGCCCCAGCUGCUGGAGCAGAGGUUCCACUUGGGUUCCACAGACACCCACAGCCCAAAUCCCUGGAGGCCUAAGGCAAUAGCUAAUUGAGACUAUGCAUCACUAUUAAGGCAUCUUCACUAAAGGGCGCUGUGGAAACGCUGCCUGAGAUGCAGACACCUGUCAGAAGGGGGCUAAAUUUCAAACAAGGAACGUGGUGUUGCAUCACAAUAAAAACAGAAGAAACACACGUGUUCUUGUGUGUAAACCCAGUCCAUGGAAGAGACCGUCUGCUUGUCCCUCCUGAUCUCUGGGCCCAGACAACCAGUAGUCACCAUUCCAAGUGAGGGGUGGCUGCAACUCUACAGCCCCGUUCGUCUCUCCUCACUGUCAAAGCUGCUGAGACCCCAGACUCGACACUUGAAAGAAACCCAUGUCUGUGAAGCACUUGUGGACCAUUCAAGAUUGUGGAAGAAUCACUCAAGAGAAGGAGAUAGCAAUAUUUGCAGAUAUGCAAACUGGCCCCUUGCAUGCACAUCCUGGAGCACGUCCUGGAGCCUUUAGAGGAGACGGCUGCUGCUGUUCCAGUCUCUCCUUAGGCAGACUUGAGUUUCUACCCACUCUUCCCAAGCAGCCGCCCCUCCGCACCCGAGCGAGCCAAAGACCUGGCGGGCUGAGUACUCACUGCGCGCUGGACACAUGCUGAGCCGGCACUGCAGGGACACAGGGCGAGCCGCUGGAUGCAGACCUGUGGCCGCGGCAGUUGGGCUUAUCUUGCCCAUGAAGUUGCCUCUGAAGAACCAAGUCCAACUGUGUAUGCUGAGAGAUGUCUGGCUACUUCCUGAUUGACAGUUCUGGCAAGGUGGCAUUGGGCCCUGGCUUUUCCUCUGGAGGCAUCAUCACUUAUAGGAAAAUGUCCCCUGAAGUCCAAGGAUCAAAGCUGCUGGAACACUGAGAAGCUGAACAAAGGAGAACUGUUUCUCAUCAAACCCAGACUUCCAGACUUCCAAUAGGGUAGAAUGAGCAAGUCAGCAAAUCAUCUUCCUUGGAAACAGUGAUAAAACUAGAUGACAUUGUCAACAACAGCCAUUUCAGAAAUCUAGAAAAUGACCAAAGGCAAACAACAAACUGAGAAGCAUUUUUUUUUCCAUGAAAAAUCGCUCUAUUUCUGCAAAAAUAGUGGGAGUCUAUGGCUUCUCAUCCAGGGCUGUUUCUCUCCCCACCCCAGCUCAGUCAGUACAAAGGUUCUGGCAGCAUGAGGCAGACUGAACAGACCUGAAGUUUGAUUGCUGGAAGAAACUGACUCCAGGUUUGGCAGAGGGUGAGAAACCUACUCCCAGCCAUGUUGUCUGGUGACACAGUGACCUUAGGGACAAGUGAAUAGGGAAGGCCAGUGAUUCAUUAACCUGAGGUUGCAGUCCUGGUUGGGGAAAGCAUCAGAAUGGCAGAUAAGCUAGAAAUUUAGUAGGGAUAUGCUGGAAAUGAGACAACCCCAAAGGGGCUUGACCCCAAAGUUGUCCACACACCCCAGCUGCCUUCUGAGCAGAUGUAGGGAGAGACCAGAGAAGGCCUAGGCUAUCCACACAUCUCUGGCUAACCCAGGCUGUAAACCUGUGGAGGAGACACAAGAGGUGGAUUGAUUGCUAAUGGGCAUAUGGGGGAUCUUACUGGUUGAUAGGAACAUUCUCAAAUUGGAUUGUGGUGAUGCUUGCACAACUCUAAGUUUAUCCCAAAUUGCUAAAUUUUACACUAAAAAGGGGUGAACUUUAGGGUAUAUAAAUUAUACAUCAAUAAAGUUGUCAUAAAGCAUUCACAUUCUAAUAAAUGGCUCUAAGAAAUAUUGUUUUGAAAAUUUUCCUUUGGUAUAUUAUGGCACUCCAAAAUCAACUUCUGUCAGAACAAUAAUUAACUAUUUCUGAUUAUAGAUAUUGGUCAUCUACAAUGAUUUAUUCAGUCUUUUAUGUCCCGCAUAAGGGCUUAGAAUGCUUUAAAUUUCUAAGACCAUCAAUAGCCAGGACUCACCUGAAAACUAUAUAUAUUUUUAAAAAGACGUAUGCUCUGGGACACCAUAUGCUAACAUUUGUUGAGCACACAGUUUGCUACAGAGGUUAAGAGGUGUACUAUUUAAAUCUAACUUCCUCAAGGGGCUCACACUAUUACAAUAGUAAGCUAAAGAGAUAGAAGAAAAGUUUAUAUAUAAAAUCUCAGUACAGGGAUGGGGUUGGUAACAAAUAAGAUGCUGCCACUUACACUUGAUAAAUUAUAAAAUAUCUAUUGCAUUCAUUAUUGGAGGCUGACCCUUAUAAAAACCUUGUGGGUACUGCAAAAGACAGGGAAACCGAGGCUCAGAGUGGUUCAGCAACUUGUGUGAGGUCACAUACCUCAUGUCAAAGCUGAGAUUUAAAUGUGUGUGGCUAGGCUGGACAUGGUGGCUCACACCUGUAAUCCUAGCACCCUGGGAGGCUGAGGUGGAACACACUCCUUGUUUGUGUCCAGGAGUUCAAGACCAGCCUGGACAACAUAAUGAGACCUCAUCUCUACAAAAAAUAAAAAAUUAGCUGGGUGUGGGGCCACGCACCCCAAGGUUCUCAGGAGGCUGAGGCAGGAGGACUGCUUGAAAUCAGGAGGUUGAGCCUGCAGUGAGCUGUGAUCAUGCCACUGCACUCUGCCUGGGUGACAGAGUGAGACCCUGUCUCAAAAAAAUAAAAAUAAAAACAAAUAAAUGUGUGUGGCUGAUUCUCAUGCAAAUAUUGGUGAAGAUCUGGUAGUGAUGUAAAUUGGUAGAACCUCAGUGGGAGAUAACUUUGCAAUAGCUAUCAAAUGAAAACUGUGUAUAUUCUUUGUUUCAGGAAUUUCACUUCUAAGAUGUUUUUAAUAUAGCAGAAAUGGUUAUCCAUAAAGAAUUAGUUCAAUACAUUUUAUCUGUAAAAUGGAAUGCAAUGCGGCCAUUAAAAAGGAGGCAUAUCUGAGUAUACUAAUAUAGAAUGGUCUGCAAGAUAUAUUAACUUUUUUACAAAAGCUGUUCCCCACACUUCUUCGUGUUGUUUGAAAAGACGUGAAGGCUCAGACAGGCCUUCAUUGUGACUUGCCCAGGAUGAGUAGCAGGGCUGGAAUUCCUACUCAGGAGUCCAGAUUUAUAGGCUUCCUCUUUGCUUUAUCCUAUUUCAUAGCUGUCUCUGUUGCCAGAGCCAUGGAAGG